rnacentral:rRNA from 1 species
AUUGAACGCUAGCGGGAUGCUUUACACAUGCAAGUCGAACGAGUGGCGGACGGGUGAGUAAUAUAUCUGAAGUGCCCCAUAGCGGGGGAUCACUACUGGAAAUGGUAGCUUAUACCGCAUACUAUCGGAUAACCCAUAUGGGAUUAGCUAGUUGGUGGGGUAACGGCUCACCUAGGCGACGAUCACUAGCUGGUCUGAGAGAAUGAUCAGCCAAGCUGGAACUGCGCCACGGCCCAGACUCCUACGGAGGCAGCAGUGGGGAAUAUUGCACAAUGGGCGCAAGCCUGAUGCAGCCAUGCCGCGUGUAUGAAGAAGGCACUAUGGUUGUAAAGUACUUUCAGUCGGGAGGCGUUAACGACAGAAGAAGCACCGGCUAACUACGUGCCAGCAGCCGCGGUAAUAC